AGCGAACGCUGGCGGCAUGCCUAACACAUGCAAGUCGAACGAACUCUUCGUAGUUUGUGUCGGUCGGGUGAGUAACACGUGUUAACGUGCCUUUUGGUUCGGAAAAACUCAGGGAAACUUGUGCUAAUACCGAAUUUGCCCUUCAUGGCAAAGAUUUAUCGCCAUUAAAUCUUCCCUCGUCUGAUUAGAUAGUUUGUGAUGUAACGGCUCACCAAUGCGACGAUCAGUAGCUGGUAUGAGAGGAUGACCACCCAGACUGGGACUGAGACACGGACCAGACUCCUACGGAAGGAAGAAGUGGGGAAUCUUGAGCAAUGGGCGAGAGCAUGACGCAGCCAUGCCGCGUGAAUGAUGAAGGUGUUAGGAUUGUAAAAUUCUUUCGAAGGGGAAGAUAAUGACGGUACCCGGAGAAGAAGCCCCGGCUAACUUCGUG
rnacentral:rRNA from 1 species